CCCGCUGAACUUAAGCAUAUCAAUAAGCGGAGGAGAAGAACCAACCAGGAUUCCCUCAGUAACGGCGAGUGAAGAGGGAGAAGCCCAGUGCCGAAGCCUGCGGCAGGUUUGUCGGUAGGCCAUGUGGUGUGCGGGUUGGCUGGCGGGACCGCCGCUCCACUCCAAGUCCAGCAUUGAGUAUGGUUGUGAGUGAAUGUGGCCCAUAGAGGGUGAUAGGCCCGUAGGAGUGGGGGCUCAGGCAGGUGAGGCGGUUCACCAGGCCGGCUCAGGAGUCGGGUUGUUUGAGAUUGCAGCCCAAAGUGGGUGGUAAACUCCAUCCAAGGCUAAAUACAGGCACGAGUCCGAUAGCGGACAAGUACCGUGAGG
rnacentral:ncRNA from 1 species